GUUCUUGGAGCUCUGCUCUAGACUGUGACAACCCUGGAAUACCUAAGCGUUCCAGCUUUUAUCGCCACCCGACCUUCCUGUCUCCAAGCACGCACACGGCCCAGCCCUGCCACCCUUCCUCAAGUGCGGAACCCUCAGUUUUUAACAAAGAGAAAGGGCGUUCUCGUGCAUUCUUUAUUAAGCUCCUCGUGGUGAUCAGGAUGAAGUGAGCAGUCAGCCAAUCCAUUCCUGACUGCGAGUGUUCACCGGAUGCAUGAGGAGCCCACCAGGGUCCUGGUAGUCAUGGAAACUCUGUGAUGUCAUCAAGCGAGCGCCUUCCAGUGAGAGGAUGCAGCCCAUGGAGGACAACGGACAGUGAGCGGGGUCUCUAUGCCUGCCUCUUCUAUGUUUGGUUUCCCCGUGUUUACGAAUUGCCAUCGAAUGUGAAAAAUGAGUGAUCAGACAAUACUUGUUAAGCCAUUAAACAGAUGAGCCAAACAAGGUCCUACUGGCUAUCAUUUGUGGUAGAGAUAGGAUCUCUACCAAGGUUACUCUGCUUGAAGAUCCGGGUUCUUAUCAGGUGCCGUGCCUAAUGCCCUGUGAAUUUUUCUCAUCUACUUAAAAUGGCAGCCCUCUAAGACAGUUAUCUUUGACUUGCAGCUCUGCUCCAGGAAGUCCAUCACCUUGUACAAGCUCUUGCUACACGUGCUGAGGGCACUGGGACCCGUCUUCCUUCACAGUUUGGCUUUCUCACCAAACAGCCAAGGUGUCCCCUUCGCAGCAAGGAAACAUGCUGGCUCCUGCUCUAAGUAGGCUAGCUCUCUGGCGUUCUGUGUGGCUUUUGACUUCAUGCACUUGAGCCCCGGGAACAUCUCUACAGACCGGUGUGCUACUUUUCAAGACAGGCGCCAUGUACUCAGCAUCUCUCUGUCCUUCUGGCAGAGCCUGCUGCUCAGUUGGGGUGACGGCAUCAUCAGUCACCCGUAUGGUGCGAGCUGCAGCUGGCACGGCCAUAUGGGUGCGCUGAAAGUUCUGAAUAACGGCAGGGAGCUUUGUCGGAUCGUUCGGAAAGCUGGAGUAUGGGACCAGGAGUCCCUUGGCACAGGGGAACUUCUAGUCAGAUCCUCUGCCAUCUCCACUAUCCUUCUGAACUUAGUAAGCUGUACCUCGCGGCAAAGUAGGAGAAAUAAAUGUAUGCGUGGCGGAACUUAUGAGCAAAACCACUGCAGCAAAACCCAGCUCAAA